AAGUGGUAGUUAAGAGCUUUAUUUUGGGCAUACUGUAAGAUAUUUUUGUUAAUAGUUGUUCGAAUAUAUUCAUUUUGUCAUAAUUUCUGUUACCAUGUCUUCAUAAAAAUCACCUGCACUACUGAAGAUCAGUUUAGAGAUGAAUGUCAUCAACCUAUUCAAAAGAGACAUCCUGAAUCUCAAUAGUAAAUUGGGAGAGCUUCAGGUACUGCUUGAUGAGAAAGAAGCGAAGUUAUCACACUAUUAGAGUCUAGAGUAUGGAAGGGAGGAUUAGACAAUUUUGCGAGAGGAAAAUUCACAGAUGUCAAGAGGCAUACAUCCAUCUCCUGCUGUUGGUGGUUCUCCUAAUCUUGAAGCAUUGAACUCCCAUAUCACAUCAAAUUGGAAGUGUCUACAGCAAAAAAAUG